GGGGGUGGGUAUUGACUUUCAGGAAGGGCAGCCAUGAGGCUGCAAGAGUCCGGUGCCCGGAUACACUGUGAAUUUUCCUGAUGCUCUGUAAGCGUGGAAUAUUCUUCUGUUCGCUGGAGCCCCUGACCCCUGGCCCUUCUAGAAGAUGAGAGAAGAGAGGAAAUCUCUUGUGAGGGCUUUUAGGGAGAAGAGGGUGAAGUUUUGGUUUUCCUUUCUGGCCUCAGGUUUUCCAAAGAGAGCCUGGCAACCCCCAGCGGCCCACUCCACCACCCUGAGUCCUGGCUCCCGGAGCUGUUUUGCUGCUGGAGCAAGCAAGCCCUGGAGAAACGUGGGUUUGUGUGUGUGCUGGGGGGGGCGGGAGCCUUGAGGAUGUGGGGACUGUGUCUGCUCUGCUGUUAGUCAUAGGAUGUUGCAGACCUAUUUUGCAUACUGGCGUUGACAAGUUGAGGCUUGUUCACUUGACACAGUCCUGUGGUCACAGCCAAUCUUUCUAAAACCCUAACCGGUGGAGAAGGUGGUUGUAUGGAUCUUCUGAACCCUGAGUGGAAACUUCCUGAAAGAUUUAUUAGGAGAGAAACCUUCCUGGAAGCAGCAGACGGACAAACAGAAUCCCUGGCUGGGCAGAGCCUCGUGGCCUGGUCUCUGCCGUUGGAAGGGAGUCGCGUCUUAGAGCCCUGAUCUUUGGACCAGAAAGGAAUUAAAAAGAUGCCCCUCACGGUGGCCAUGCCUGUCGGUUACAUGGAGCUCCAUUCAAGGAUUUUCGGAGCCUUUUGGAUUUACAGUGAUAUUCAGCUGCCUGGGGAAUAAAGUUGGUGGAAGCUUUCUCUGGAGUUACGUACACCCGACACCUGUCUGGAUGCUACUGGCGGUUUUAAGGAAGGCCCUGGCUGAGUGCCUGGCGGAUCCCUGCAGCCUGGAUGCCCGUGGGAGACGGAAGACCGCGGCUUCCUGUGAGGGCUGACGCCUCUGUCCUUCUCUCCUCACGGAUGCCUGGUUGGGUCUCUGCCAGCCCCGCCGGGGGCUCCCUGUGACACAAUCCUGUUCUACCUGAGAUUUUGGUGCCUUCAAUCUGAAAAAAAUACGUAUCCCUCUGGUACUCUAGAGGAACUUGAGAACAGUCCUUCUCUGAACUAAAGCCAGACCAUUGUGGGAUUUGGAGACUAAAGGACCUGAAAUCUGCCAGCACGUCUUGGAUGUCCAGCCGCCAGGACCGGGAGAGAUGAAUGUCUGUCAUCUAAGCCACCUGCUGUGGGUGGCAUCCUGUGAGAGCAGGCUGAGCAGACCGGGACGCCGUAUUUCACAGAUGAGUGGACUGCAGACUCAGAGAGGUGGUGUUGCCACAUUGGUUGGCAGGGGGUGGCGAUGAAUGGUGAGGUCCAAAAGUCCACGCGGGCAGAAAGCCGUGGCUGAGAACACUGGACUUUUCCCUGUGAGCAGUGUGGUCUCAUGAGCAGAAGUGAAGGUGGCAGUGGAGAGGAAAUGAGACAACGUGUGUGUGCCCUUCGGACCAGGAACGUCCAGGCCUGAGGGAGAGACCCAGGCCAGCAGAGCCACUGCUCUCCAGAUGAACUCUGCACGAGGCUUCCAGAGUGAGGCUAUGUUUU